CCUUCUUUUUUUUUUUUUACUUUUGAAACUAGCUCUUACGUCAUCAUUGAUUAUUUUAUUGUUCUAGCAAAAGUUGUAUGGGGUUCAGCAAAUGUUACUAGACAUUUUUUUUUCUUAUAUUGAACUUUCUUAGCUUUGGUUACUGCAACUAUGGCUAAUUCUGAUCAUUUAGCUGUUUGAAAAAUUGAUUAUCUAAUGCUUUGGCGCUAUUGCCCUAUUAAACGAAAGAAAAUGAGUAGAGGUACUAAUGAUUUUUGUAUUUUGGAAGAACGCAUUCUGGUGUAAGCCAAGAGCAGUGCCAGAGCUAAAGGUAAAGAAGGACGUUCAAUUGAAUUCCUUUCGUCCAAUCCGACUGUGCAACUAGGGUAAUUUUUUUUUUGGUUUGUAUAUAUAUAAACUGUUGAAUCCCCUUAACAUAAGGGAAGCUUCUAGGUAUAAUAUUCUUGCAUUUUUGAAUCCCAUUGUUAGGGUUCUUGCUCCGCCACUGGCCAAGAGGCAAGCUUUCAUGAUUCACACUUAAACCAA